GACGAACGCUGGCGGCGUGCCUAACACAUGCAAGUCGAACGGAAAGGCCCUGCUUUUGUGGGGUGCUCGAGUGGCGAACGGGUGAGUAACACGUGAGUAACCUGCCCCUGACUUUGGGAUAACUUCAGGAAACUGGGGCUAAUACCGGAUAGGAGCUCCUGCUGCAUGGUGGGGGUUGGAAAGUUUCGGCGGUUGGGGAUGGACUCGCGGCUUAUCAGCUUGUUGGUGGGGUAGUGGCUUACCAAGGCUUUGACGGGUAGCCGGCCUGAGAGGGUGACCGGCCACAUUGGGACUGAGAUACGGCCCAGACUCCUACGGGAGGCAGCAGUGGGGAAUAUUGCACAAUGGGCGGAAGCCUGAUGCAGCAACGCCGCGUGCGGGAUGACGGCCUUCGGGUUGUAAACCGCUUUCGCCUGUGACGAAGCGUGAGUGACGGUAAUGGGUAAAGAAGCACCGGCUAACUACGUG
rnacentral:rRNA from 1 species